GGCCCUAUCGUCUAAAGGCAAGGACGUCACUCUUUCAAGGUGGAAAUCCGGGUUCGAUUCCCGGUAGGGCCGCCA
rnacentral:tRNA from 1 species